AUCGGAUAGUAUCUUUGUGUACAUAUAACCUCAACCCGUGUAGCCUCAAUCAUCUUUUUUAUUUCUUCUCUCUUCUCUCUUCUCUCUCUUUCCUUUUUCUCUCUUCUCUUCUCUUCCCUUGCUGAUUAACGAUAUUGUUGACAUUGAGGUUGAUAAUGAUGAAGAUAGAGAUGACCUGUUAUUCCUGCUUUUGUUGGCACUCUCCUCUUUUGUGGAUAAUACUUAACUGAAUUGAGUCAGACCCCAGGUUACCUUUUACCAUGAUCCUCUCUUAUUGCUUUAUGAUGUUGGCACUGUUGCUAUAUUGAUACUGAUGAUGGUUUUUCAUGCAUCUAGCUGUCAGUGGUGAAAUGAAUGUUUCCUAAUGAGGCGUUGUAAGGUUAAGCAGCAGUAGCAUUGUUAGGUGAAAGUCGAUUUAAGGUUUGACUCCGUGCUUCUGGUAAUAGCCUUUCAUGGUUUGUUGAUUCAGCGCACACCCAAUGGACUCAUAGCUAUUUAUUUCUAUCUUCCCUUUCUUCAUCAUCAUCAUUCAUUCUUUAUCUCUCUCCCUCCUCUCUCAUUUUUAACUUAUUUUCCCUUUUUUCCUUUUUUUUCUAGUAACUCUUGUUCAAAUGGAAGAAAAAGGUUAAGGAGAGUAAAGAAAAGAUUUUUUCAUACAUUGAAAAAAAGGUGAAUGGACACCAGAACGGAGUUUACUUCAUCUGUCUAAAUUGUUUUCGCUAUAUGAAUAUGUUGAAACCCGAUUUCAUUAUUUUACUAAUUGCUAUGGCUGACAACAAUAGUCUCUGACGAAAGCGUUGUUUCGACUUGUUUAUUCAGUUUUUCAUCUCUUCUCUGUUUCCAUUUAGUAUUCAUCCCUCUUCUUCUAACAUGUAAUCAGUCAAAUGCAAUGACAUUAGAGUACAAAAUGAUACCGUGAUUAAGUUUGAGAUGUCAAUUAGGUGGAAUAAUGAAUUGAUUUGUGAGAUAACAGAGUUUUAGAAACAAACACACGAUUGACACGAGAAUAAAUGGUUAUUUGUUAUGGAAAGUAACUAUGAAAAAGCAAGAUUAUGGUGAAGCUGAAGACGAUAAUUGUACAUGAUUAUAUCUCAAUGAACAUUCUCUGAUUACUAUAAAGGCCUUUACUAUGGAUAUUUAUCAUGAAAUUAAAAAAACCUGACAAAUACAGCCUCAAGUAUGGAAUCAAUCAAAUCAUAUUCAAUUUGUAAUCAUGAUGUUAAACAGUGCAACUAAAUGGUGAUAAUAACUGAUGUUGACCUUUUGCUUCUUUAACACAACAUCUACUGGUUUGCUGCUUUCAAUGCUUCGAUUUUGAUACUUUAAAAUGAUAAUGUAACGCGAAAAGAUAAUGCAUCAGCAAACAUAAAUUAACAAUUAAAUAUUAAUUUGCUCAGACAAAGGCACGAUGAAGAGAUGAUAAUUUUGAUUCCUUUAUAACUUAUCAACACGGAACCAUCAUAAUGAUCCUAUCAAAACAAGUCUCUCAUUUCAGUAACAAUUUCAAUUGAUAGCGAGUUUCAUUUCAAUUCAUUUUUGUAGGUUAUUAUAAACUGUUUAACUCUUUCAUUAUUAUUGUUAAAUGAUCACGAAUCAACAACAUCUCUAGUUAUGUUUAACUCUUUACCUUAAUCCAUUCCAAUACAAAUUAUCACAUUCUUUGAUAAUAAAUAAAAGCUAAAUCGAUUGUAUUCC